rnacentral:rRNA from 1 species
AGCGAACGCUGGCGGCAGGCUUAACACAUGCAAGUCGAGCGGAUGUAGCAAUACAUCAGCGGCAGACGGGUGAGUAACACGUGGGAACGUACCUUUUGGUUCGGAACAACACAGGGAAACUUGUGCUAAUACCGGAUAAGCCCUUACGGGGAAAGAUUUAUCGCCGAAAGAUCGGCCCGCGUCUGAUUAGCUAGUUGGUGAGGUAACGGCUCACCAAGGCGACGAUCAGUAGCUGGUCUGAGAGGAUGAUCAGCCACAUUGGGACUGAGACACGGCCCAAACUCCUACGGGAGGCAGCAGUGGGGAAUAUUGGACAAUGGGCGCAAGCCUGAUCCAGCCANGCCGCGUGAGUGAUGAAGGCCCUAGGGUUGUAAAGCUCUUAUGUGCGGGAAGAUAAUGA